UACGAAGGGGGGCUAGCGUUGCUCGGAAUUACUGGGCGUAAAGGGAGCGUAGGCGGAUAGUUCAGUCAGAGGUGAAAGCCCAGGGCUCAACCUUGGAACUGCCUUUGAUACUGGCUAUCUUGAGUUUGGGAGAGGUGUGUGGAACUCCGAGUGUAGAGGUGAAAUUCGUAGAUAUUCGGAAGAACACCAGUGGCGAAGGCGACUCACUGGCCCGUUACUGACGCUGAGGCACGAAAGCGUGGGGAGCAAACAGG
rnacentral:rRNA from 1 species